rnacentral:rRNA from 1 species
UGCAGAAUCCCGUGAACCAUCGAGUCUUUGACGCAAGUUGCGCCCGAAGCCAUCCGGUUGAGGGCACGUCUGCCUGGGCGUC